ensembl:lncRNA
GUGGAAGCCCUCCAGAAAGAGAGCAGUGUACAGGGCAAUUACUGGCGUGAGCAGACACUGAAGGAAGAGGAGAUGGUGGGAGAUUUUGACAGAGCCAUUAAACACUAUCUGUCCACAUCCAUACACGAGUCUGACUGUGUAAGUUGACUCUACAGAAAUGACACUAAGCUCUGUGGUCUAUUUAAAAUGCAAGUCUUUGGACCAAGUGUCUGUUUUUAUUUUUGUGAGUGUCAGUGUGAUGGAAAGCAUUUCCACCAUCCCUGCAUCCUGAAUGUGAUUCUGUGCAUGUUCAUGUGUGUGCGUGAAACAGAUAGACUGGAUGGACACAGACAGGCACCUCAGGGAGACCGCCGCUGAGAUUCAGGAAAGUGCUCAGUGUGAGGCCCAGAGAAAAGCUCUCCAGAACUCAGAGUUAUCGCUGCUCCUACAAGCCCAUGUGUUACACACCUUCACAGGAGGAGAUGAAGAGGAGUGGGAGCAGCAGUGUUACUGGCACACUGAGCUUAAGGCCGUGCUGAACCGAGUGAGUGUGUCCAUGGAGAGACUGCAGAGGGACCGGGAUCAGCUGUCGGCACAGGAAACGCAGCAUCUGGUCAGCUUGUUUUCACAUUGAAACAUAAAAAAACACUCUCACCCUCAGACAGAAAGAUACAAUGCUGACAACAGUCUGUUGAGCUCAUUACUACUUUGUUGAACAACUGAAUGAGCAGAUCAAUACAUUGGAAGCUUGAUAUCCUUCAUAAGACUAUUGGUGCGAUCGCCAAUAUUCUGGCUUUGCACUGUCCAUUUUCCAGUUUGAUGGAGUGCAGUCUGGGAUGAAUAACACAGUGUCUUUUAAUUAUGACAGGAUGGAAAACUGAGGGAGCAGGAUCUGUGGGAGCAUUUAAUGCAGAGACAAGCAGAGCUGGAUGCUGCACUUUCAACUCUUCACUGUGCUCGUCAGGUCUGCCAGCUGCGUGCUGACAUUGCACAGUCUUUGGUUUGUGGCACAUUCUGGUAUAAGGAUUUUGGCAUGCUGCAGCCUAAGGGUGUGAGGAACCCUCUGAAAGUAAUAGCCAUGACUCAGCAGAAAAUCCUUCCUCGGCUUGAACGACUUAUUCAGCUGCUGGAGGAAACCAAAGCACUUGGCCAGUCGACCAGCACACAGCGGCAGCAGAGCUCUGGAAAGCAGGCGUUCGACCGAGACAGCGCUUCCAGAGCGUGGACCGAAUCUGUGUCUGUUGUGAAAGGUGUCUCAACUCAGUCCUUUAAAGAUCAAAUGAAGGCUCCGUCUGUGAGUGAACAGAAUGCCACGGUGCCCUCUCUUCCUCUGUCAAACCCAUCUUACACUCAGAAAAGCCAGGAAAAAACACAGCUGAACCACAGCCAGGAUGUCCAAUUUCUCCAGGAACCUGGUCUGUCCGCACACAUCAGUAUCCCACAGCUAGCAGAGGAAGACUGGUCCAGACUAGUAGCACUAUCUCCUCUAUUCCAGCUGAUGAAGGAAGUGGAGCAACAGCUCAGGGAUAGUGCCAGAGAUAGAGGCCUUCUCAAGAUCCAGCCUUCAGGUGCAGGCCAGUCAUUCAUGGAUUUCAUGGAUGCCCAGUGGGAGUGUGAGGGAGAGCUGAUUCAAGUGAGCUCUGAAACCCUCAACCCACGACAGCUUCUGCUCUACCAGCAUGGACAGUUUCUCCUCCAGCACCUUCACUUACAUAAAAUGAUACCAGCAGUAACCCUUCAACUGGCUUCUACUCUUCCUUUCAACGACUACCAUAACAAUGCUUUCCGCAACUCUUUCUAUUAUCAGGAGGGACAGAAGACUCUGUUUGUUCGCAGUCAGAGAUUGCAAUCGGUGGGUGGCCUCUCUCUGCUGCUAAUGCACUGUGCUGCACACAUUUCCAUCGGCCAGAUGAGGACUGACACCAUUCCUGCCUUUCAAAGAGCCUUCUUCAAGGUUUUACAGGUGGGCUUAAGUGAGCUGUUCCAUGCCAGGCUGGGACAAACUGAUAGUCCAGAUGAUGAGAGGACGAAAGAUUUGGCGUCUGACGCAGCUCUCAAUGGUCUUCUGCUGGAAAGAGUCCAGAAGCCAAGUCCUGGGAUUUUUUCAGAGCAUGAGGUUUUGGGACGUCUGCGCAAAUACAGAGAGGCUUCAGUGUUCCGCCAGGUCGAGAGUCUCCUAAAAGAGUCUCCAAAGAGCCUGGAGAUCAACCACCUCAACACUGACCCGUCACUCAACGACGACCCAGAAAGCCAAGCCGCUGCUCCUCCAUGAACUGACAUUUUAACUUUGAACAGUGCUGCCUCUCUGACAGUGAUGAAUCCAGCUUUCAAAGGCAUGUUAUGUGCUGUGAGGCAGCUGAUGGCCUUAUGGUCUUGGACGGUAGAGCAUCUAUUUUUGCUUCUGGUGGUGACCCAGCACAGCUACUUUCUUGUACAGAAGUUGAAAAAAUGGCACUAAGAAAAAAACAUUAAAAUGGGCAAUAUUUCCAUGCACUGCAUAGGCUCAGCAAACAAACCUCUGUUGAAUCCAGUUUUAAUGUAGUUUUCGAAAAUAAAGGCAUGUUACAGAAUUUGACCGUUUGAUUG